GUCUGAUAACCGAAAAUGACAUCACUUUACUGUAAUGUAGCUUUUAAAACCAGGAAAGGACAACACUUAAGCCAUUUCCAGCUUUAUGAUUUCCAAAAUUUAAGGCAAUAUCUAGUCUCAUAUAUCACGAUAUCGAUAUAAUAUCAAUAUAUUGCCCUACCCUA